rnacentral:lncRNA from 1 species
CUUUUCUGAGCAGGAAAGAGACUAGGCAAAGUAGCAUAUAGCAUCCUUCUUAUUCCCAUGCAGCUGCCGGAGGCUUCUUUUUCCUUUGGUCAAAUCUGAUUUGUAUUUCCUCAUGGUUAAUACCCCUAGAGUGCUCCAGGCUGCUUUCUGCCUG